ACGCUCUGGCCUCUGCCUCUGUGGACCCUGACUGCUUGGUCUUCACCCAGAGACUCUGGAGAGGAGGCAAGGUGCUGUCUUGGAGAAUAAGUCCCCUACAUUCGAACCCUCAAGUUGUGAACUUUCAAAGAUGCAAACGUGCAUGCCAGCCCCUGUAUACACAAGUGUUGUAUUGGACUACUGUACUCUUCAAGGUGAGGCACCAUCUUCUAUUUUCAUUGUCGAAGACCAAGCCCAGGAAGCAUCUUCACAACCAAAGUCACUAAAAUUUCCAGGAACUGAAGGUGAUCAUCAGACUGAAGUGUCCAGAAGACUGCUGGGAAGCCAGCCACCCCACGUCGGGGCAGGUUAUGGUGGAGAAGCUGUGUGCUCAGAGUCAGACACCUGAACUGCUGAGACACUCAGAGGUUGGAAUGCACUGGUUUACCUUAAGGAAUCCCACUGUCUCACUGCAGCGAAGUCAGGUUUACCCGUGGGUACAUGGGCCUUGGGAACAAGAAACUUCAGUAUCAGUUACAGAUGUAGCUGCUCUAAAGAAAUAAAAAAGCUACUACUGUG